AUGCCAAACUCCUUUCUACUCAUCAAACCUCCAUCAUCAUUCCAUCACCCACUGUCUGAUCCAACACGAAUCAACAGAUCCUCACGUCUUCGAUUCAAUUUCUGCUCUGCACACAAGCAGCUCCCUCAUCUGAACCAUCACGGAAACAGUACAUCACCGCCCCUGUUCAUCUUCCUUCCUCCAUCAAUUCCGCAAGCCGUCCGUAAUCCUUCUGCCAAGAUCUAUUCCGAGAUUUCCAGCACCAUCAAUUUUCGAUUUCAUCUUUUCGGUAUGUUCCGAUCUCUUUACUAA